rfam:Oceanicola granulosus HTCC2516 scf_1099521380027 genomic scaffold, whole genome shotgun sequence.
GAUCAAGCGCGAAAAGGGCGUUUGGUGGAUGCCUUGGCAGUAAGAGGCGAUGAAGGACGUGAUACUCUGCGAUAAGCCAUGGGGAGCUGAGAAUAAGCUUUGAUCCAUGGAUCUCCGAAUGGGGCAACCCACCUGACAGUUUGUUAUAAUUGCCGCUUGCGGCAGCCUAUAAUGAGCUGAACCAGGUACUUCUCACCUGAAUACAUAGGGUUUGAAGAGCAAACCCGGGGAACUGAAACAUCUAAGUACCCGGAGGAAAGGAAAUCAACAGAUACUCCGCUAGUAGUGGCGAGCGAACGCGGACCAGCCGAGCAAUGAGAGUGACCGGAACAUGUUGGAAAGCAUGGCCACAGCGGGUGACAGCCCCGUACGGGAAGCUCGAUUUGACGUAUUAAGUAGGGCGGGACACGUGAAAUCCUGUCUGAAGAUCGGGGGACCACCCUCGAAGGCUAAGUACUCCUUACUGACCGAUAGCGAACCAGUACCGUGAGGGAAAGGUGAAAAGCACCCCGACGAGGGGAGUGAAACAGUACCUGAAACCGAACGCCUACAAUCAGUCGGAGGCUCCUUGCGAGCUGACGGCGUACCUUUUGUAUAAUGGGUCAUCGACUUGGUCUCACGAGCAAGCUUAAGCCGUUAGGUGUAGGCGCAGCGAAAGCGAGUCUUAAUAGGGCGCAUGAGUUCGUGGGAUCAGACCCGAAACCGAGUGAUCUAGGCAUGACCAGGAUGAAGGUAAGGUAACACUUACUGGAGGUCCGAACCCACACCUGUUGAAAAAGGUCGGGAUGAGUUGUGCCUAGGGGUGAAAGGCCAAUCAAACUCGGAGAUAGCUGGUUCUCCGCGAAAUCUAUUUAGGUAGAGCGUCAUCCGAAUACCCUCGGGGGUAGAGCACUGGAUGGGUAAUGGGGCCCCACAGGCUUACUGAUCCUAACCAAACUCCGAAUACCGAGGAGUACUAGAUGGCAGACACACGGCGGGUGCUAACGUCCGUCGUGGAGAGGGAAACAACCCUGACCUACAGCUAAGGCCCCCAAUUCGUGGCUAAGUGGGAAAGCAGGUGGGACGACCAAAACAACCAGGAGGUUGGCUUAGAAGCAGCCAUCCUUUAAAGAUAGCGUAACAGCUCACUGGUCUAAACAAGUUGUCCUGCGGCGAAGAUGUAACGGGGCUCAAGCCACGAGCCGAAGCUUAGGAUGUGCAUAGCACAUGGUAGCGGAGCGUAGUGUGACAUAAUUCCAUGUCUCCUUACUGCCCUCGGGCAGAUUGGAGACACGGAGUUUUCUGUGAAGCCGGGGCGUGAGCCAUCCGGUGGAGAGAUCACUAGCGAGAAUGAUGACAUGAGUAGCGACAAACAGGGUGAGAGACCCUGUCGCCGAAAGUCCAAGGGUUCCUGCUUAAAGCUAAUCUGAGCAGGGUGAGCCGACCCCUAAGGCGAGGCCGAAAGGCGUAGUCGAUGGGAACCAGGUUAAUAUUCCUGGGCCAGGAGGAUGUGACGGAUCUCGACGGUAGUUCGUCCUUAUCGGAUUGAACGGGCUGCUUAGAGGUUCCUGGAAAUAGCCCUCCAUGAGAUCGUACCCUAAACCGACACAGGUGGACUGGUAGAGAAUACCAAGGCGCUUGAGAGAACGAUGUUGAAGGAACUCGGCAAAAUACCUCCGUAAGUUCGCGAGAAGGAGGCCCGGUUUUUACGCAAGUAGAGGCCGGGGGCACAAACCAGGGGGUGGCGACUGUUUACUAAAAACACAGGGCUCUGCGAAGUCGCAAGACGACGUAUAGGGUCUGACGCCUGCCCGGUGCCGGAAGGUUAAAAGGAGAGGUGCAAGCCUUGAAUUGAAGCCCCGGUAAACGGCGGCCGUAACUAUAACGGUCCUAAGGUAGCGAAAUUCCUUGUCGGGUAAGUUCCGACCUGCACGAAUGGCGUAACGACUUCCCCGCUGUCUCCAACAUCGACUCAGCGAAAUUGAAUUGCCGGUCAAGAUGCCGGCUUCCCGCGGUUAGACGGAAAGACCCCAUGAACCUUUACUAUAGCUUCGCACUGGCAUCAGGAUUGCGAUGUGCAGGAUAGGUGGUAGGCUUUGAAGCAGUGACGCCAGUCGCUGUGGAGCCAUCCUUGAGAUACCACCCUUCGCACUCUUGAUGUCUAACCGCGGCCCGUUAUCCGGGUCCGGGACCCUGCGUGGUGGGUAGUUUGACUGGGGCGGUCGCCUCCCAAACAGUAACGGAGGCGCGCGAAGGUUGGCUCAGAGCGGUCGGAAAUCGCUCGUUGAGUGCAAUGGCAGAAGCCAGCCUGACUGCGAGACUGACAAGUCGAGCAGAGUCGAAAGACGGCCAUAGUGAUCCGGUGGUCCCGAGUGGAAGGGCCAUCGCUCAACGGAUAAAAGGUACUCUGGGGAUAACAGGCUGAUGGUGCCCAAGAGUCCAUAUCGACGGCACCGUUUGGCACCUCGAUGUCGGCUCAUCUCAUCCUGGGGCUGAAGCAGGUCCCAAGGGUAUGGCUGUUCGCCAUUUAAAGAGGUACGUGAGCUGGGUUUAGAACGUCGUGAGACAGUUCGGUCCCUAUCUGCCGUGGGUGUAGGAUACUUGAGAGGAGUUGCCCCUAGUACGAGAGGACCGGGGUGAACGAUCCACUGGUGGACCAGUUGUCGUGCCAACGGCAGUGCUGGGUAGCUAUGAUCGGAAAGGAUAACCGCUGAAGGCAUCUAAGCGGGAAGCCCCCCUCAAAACAAGGUAUCCCUGAGGACCGUGGUAGACCACCACGUCGAUAGGCCGGAGGUGUAAGCGCAGCAAUGUGCUCAGCUGACCGGUACUAAUGGUCCGAUAGGCUUGAUUUG